AGAGUUUGAUCAUGGCUCAGAACGAACGCUGGCGGCAUGCCUAACACAUGCAAGUCGAACGAGACCCCUGACUUCGGUUGGCGGGUCUAGUGGCGCACGGGUGCGUAACGCGUGGGAAUCUGCCCUUGGGUUCGGAAUAACUCAGAGAAAUUUGAGCUAAUACCGGAUGAUGACGAAAGUCCAAAGAUUUAUCGCCCAGGGAUGAGCCCGCGUAAGAUUAGCUUGUUGGUGGGGUAAUGGCCUACCAAGGCGACGAUCUUUAGCUGGUCUGAGAGGAUGAUCAGCCACACUGGGACUGAGACACGGCCCAGACUCCUACGGGAGGCAGCAGUGGGGAAUAUUGGACAAUGGGCGCAAGCCUGAUCCAGCAAUGCCGCGUGAGUGAUGAAGGCCUUAGGGUUGUAAAGCUCUUUUACCAGGGAUGAUAAUGACAGUACCUGGAGAAUAAGCUCCGGCUAACUCCGUG
rnacentral:rRNA from 1 species